rnacentral:rRNA from 1 species
GAUCCGGCUCAGGAUGAACGCUAGCUACAGGCUUAACACAUGCAAGUCGAGGGGCAGCGGGAAGUCAGCUUGCUGACUUUGCCGGCGACCGGCGCACGGGUGAGUAACACGUAUCCAACCUUCCCGUUACUCUGGAAUAGCCUUUCGAAAGAAAGAUUAAUACCGGAUAGUAUCGAGAGAUUGCAUGAUUACCCGAUUAAAGAUUCAUCGGUAACGGAUGGGGAUGCGUUCCAUUAGGCAGUUGGG